AUAUUCAUUAAAACAAUAAUUGGAAGCCAUUCUUCGUUAAAUACACAGCAGUUAAUAAUAUUAUUAUUAUUGACAGGAGAUUGCCGAUAAUCGACCGACUCUAUUACUUAUAGGUCAGCUCAAAACCGACAGUCUAUAUUUAAAUUGGACCUCAGUUGGAAAUAGGCUGGACUCCGGCCUAAUGGGCGAACCUGAUGCUCAUUACAUGAUGUAGACAAAGAAUCCACAACUAUCAGGAAAGAAUGUCCGGACUCAAUUGUGAAAGGGCAACAGAACUUACCAAUUAUUCAUACAUAGCCAAAAAUUGUGUCACUCAUCAAGCUUCCUGCAAAAAUGCUGAAUAUGAAAUUAAUUAAAUUAUAGUGUAAAUUUUAUUUUUUAAAUGUUUUCCUCUGCAAUAAUCUAAAAAAAUAAUGUUAGCAAUAUGUAGUAAUUCUUGUAGGCUUUAUGUUUAUUAAUAUUGUAUUAUUACUGCUAAUGUUUAUCUUAAUAAUAGAGAAAGUAACCAGUUUGUUGUAAAGAAUAUAGACAUGUAAGAUAAUAAGAUAUAACAUUUUGAGGAUUAAAAUCAGAUUUAUUGAUUUUUGGCGGAUGUACAUGACUAGGCCUACAGUAUAUAAAUAUAAAAUGUAUAUAUACAUAUCACAACUUGAUUUCAACUAGUGAGAAAUAUAUUCAAACUAUUUUCAUUUUGGCAUCUGUGUUAAGUUAGGCCUAAUUAAGUAUAAAUCUCAUUAGAUUAAAAACACUUUUUGUAAACUUUAUGACAUCCAUACUUUAAUGAG